UACGUAGGGGGCAAGCGUUAUCCGGAUUUACUGGGUGUAAAGGGAGCGUAGACGGCAUGGCAAGCCAGAUGUGAAAGCCCGGGGCUCAACCCCGGGAUUGCAUUUGGAACUGUCAGGCUAGAGUGUCGGAGAGGAAAGCGGAAUUCCUAGUGUAGCGGUGAAAUGCGUAGAUAUUAGGAGGAACACCAGUGGCGAAGGCGGCUUUCUGGACGAUGACUGACGUUGAGGCUCGAAAGCGUGGGGAGCAAACAGG
rnacentral:rRNA from 1 species